rnacentral:rRNA from 1 species
AAUGAACGUUGGCGGCGUGGAUUAGGCAUGCAAGUCGCGCGACAAGGAACCUUCGGGUUCUGGAGGAGCGGCAAACGGGGUAGUAAGGCAUCGGAACGUACCCUCUUGUUGGGAAUAGCCGCGGGAAACUGCGAGUAAUGCCCAAUAAUCCCUACGGGGCAAAGGUCCGCCGCAGGAGGAGCGGCCGAUGUGAUACCAGCUAGUUGGUGGGGUAAAGGCCUACCAAGGCGACGAUCGGUAACUGGUCUGAGAGGAUGAUCAGUCACACUGGAACUGAGACACGGUCCAGACUCCUACGGGAGGCAGCAGUGGGGAAUAUUGGACAAUGGGGGCAACCCUGAUCCAGCCAUGCCGCGUGUGAAGAAGGCCUCGGUUGUAAG